GCCAGCGUGGCGUAGUGGUUUGAGCGUUGGAGCUACGACUCUGGAGAUUGUAGGUUCGAGUCCCAGCUGGAG